rnacentral:rRNA from 1 species
GGGACACGUGGUAUCCUGUCUGAAUAUGGGGGGACCAUCCUCCAAGGCUAAAUACUCCUGACUGACCGAUAGUGAACCAGUACCGUGAGGGAAAGGCGAAAAGAACCCCGGCGAGGGGAGUGAAAAAGAACCUGAAACCGUGUACGUACAAGCAGUGGGAGCACGCUUAGGCGUGUGACUGCGUACCUUUUGUAUAAUGGGUCAGCGACUUAUAUUCUGUAGCAAGGUUAACCGAAUAGGGGAGCCGAAGGGAAACCGAGUCUUAACUGGGCGUUAAGUUGCAGGGUAUAGACCCGAAACCCGGUGAUCUAGCCAUGGGCAGGUUGAAGGUUGGGUAACACUAACUGGAGGACCGAACCGACUAAUGUUGAAAAAUUAGCGGAUGACUUGUGGCUGGGGGUGAAAGGCCAAUCAAACCGGGAGAUAGCUGGUUCUCCCCGAAAGCUAUUUAGGUAGCGCCUCGUGAAUUCAUCUCCGGGGGUAGAGCACUGUUUCGGCAAGGGGGUCAUCCCGACUUACCAACCCGAUGCAAACUGCGAAUACCGGAGAAUGUUAUCACGGGAGACACACGGCGGGUGCUAACGUCCGUCGUGAAGAGGGAAACAACCCAGACCGCCAGCUAAGGUCCCAAAGUCAUGGUUAAGUGGGAAACGAUGUGGGAAGGCCCAGACAGCCAGGAUGUUGGCUUAGAAGCAGCCAUCAUUUAAAGAAAGCGUAAUAGCUCACUGGUCGAGUCGGCCUGCGCGGAAGAUGUAACGGGGCUAAACCAUGCACCGAAGCUGCGGCAGCGACACU